CCCUAUCGGAGUCUCUGGUUUAUUUCGCGGCAGUUGGAGCCAUAAAAACGGACCACUUCCCUCCCUUCCGGUAGCAGCCUCCGCCUCCGGCAGAUUCUUCCCUCCGACGACAAGGAGCUAAACUGAAUUUGAUCUUCUUGUGAUGGCGAAUUCACCAGAUGUGGAUGCAGAUGAUGAAUUUAGUGAACUCUACAAGGAGUACACUGGCCCUCCACGAUCAACCGCUGUUGUAGUACAAGAUAAGACAAAUACAAAUAAAAGGUCUCAUGGAGGUUUUGAUGAGGAGGAUGGACCUCGUGAUCCCAAUGCUGUGCCAACUGAUUUUACCAGCCGAGAAGCCAAGGUUUGGGAGGCCAAGUCAAAAGCUACAGAGAGGAAUUGGAAGAAGAGAAAAGAGGAAGAAAUGGUCUGCAAAAUAUGUGGAGAAUCAGGUCAUUUUACUCAGGGAUGCCCAUCUACCUUGGGAUCAAAUCGUAAAGCUCAAGAUUUUUUUGAAAGGGUACCAGCCAGGGAUAAACAUGUGAGAGCACUUUUCACUGAUAGGGUAGUACAGAAAAUUGAAAAGGAUAUUGGUUGUAAGAUCAAGAUGGAUGAGAAAUUCAUCAUUGUUAGUGGCAAGGAUAGGCUAAUUCUGGUAAAGGGAGUAGAUGCUGUGCACAAGAUGAUUAAGGAGGAAGGUGAUCAGAAGGGUUUUUCUAGUUCUCGUAUGAGUAGAUCCAGGUCACCUGAGCGAAGCCCAGUUGGCUCAAGAUCACAACGUUCUGACAUCCGUAGAUCACAUUCUGGUCCUACAAAUGCAUCACAAUUUCAACCUAGGUUUAGCAGACAGGAGAAGGCUGUUGAAAACCGCAUUCGUGAUGAUCUGCAGAAAUAUCCAAGGGGCUCGGUUCAAGCAUAUAGCAACGACAGAGUUAGAGGUCGUUCAAGCCACUCAAAAUCUCCUGCUCAUCCACCUUAUUCUGGCAGCUCAUUCAGUUCAUAUGAUAGUUAUCAGAACAAAAGUGCAUAUGGUAGAAUGGAAGGAUGGGAUAGUGAGAGAAGAGGAUCUGAUUUGCAAACUAGUCAUCAGUUCGAGUAUCCAGCUUUUCCCCAGUCUCUUGAAGAAUUGGAGAUGGAGUAUAAAAGGGAAGCAACUGAACUUGGAAAGAUUCGUGACAAAGAAGAAGACGAUGAGAACUAUAAACACCGUGAGACUAUAAGGGAGAUGAGAGAGAACUACACGAAGAAAUUGGCUCAUUUGAGGGGAACACAUGCAAAACAAUGGGAUGAGUUUCACCAACUUGAUGCCCAAAGGCGUCAGCAACAAGUGCACCAGCACAUGGCCGCUUCAGGUUUUGCUGGUUAUAAGCAGCAUAACUAUUCUGAGUAUGAAGGUGGCUCAGUCAAUUCCCAUUAUGAAGGGGCUACUAAUUUAGCGGCCCUUGAUUCAAGAAGCAAGUAUCCAAAUCAUAUGAUGGAGAAUUUUCCUUCAAGGCCUCAUGGUAGUUUUGGGGAGUUUCAACGUCAGAGGCACGACGAUUACGGAAACGCUUACAAACGAUACUAAUUUGUUAACCCCCUGGAAGUAAGUUGGAUUCAGAUCCAUCUUGGGUAGGCCUAAUGCAUGGAGGAACGCCUAAUCAAAGAUCUUUUUCUGUUGUUCGUGUGCCAGUUGAAUCUCUCCAUGAACUCCAGCUUCAAAAUGGCAGAAAUGGCUUCUUCUUAUUGAUUUACUGUUUGUCGGUUCAACAGAGUGUUAGGAAGAUGAGAAGAAAAGAAGGCCCUUUCAUUUCAGGAUCUUGGUAGAAUGAAUGCCCUGCCAUAAUGGGAAGUAAAACCUCUUUACAUGAGUGGUUUAGAUUGUAUGGCUACAGAAGAUAGAGAGUUUGAAAUAGAUCUUGAAGGUGGUGAUUAUACUAGCGAAGAUGAUCUGAGCAGUGAAUCUGACUCGACAUCGAAACCACAUGUUAGGAAAGCUAUCAGUAGGCUUCGGAGUGGGUUUCUGUGCACUAAUGGAUCUAUAAAUCAAGGGUGUAGCUUUGCUUCCAGUAGUAAUUCCACCAAGCUCAAUAAGCUUGGUGUUGAUGAAAACGUGGAGUUGUUGAUAGACAAGAGUUUAGAUGGAGAAAAGAGACGAGAACUCGGAGCUCUUGCAGAGAAGAAGAAGAACGUUAAAGAGACGAUUAAGAACAAUGGAAAGCUUCACAAGCCACCACGACCUCCAAGGGGUCCGUCGUUGGAUGCUGCUGAC